rnacentral:rRNA from 2 species
UAAACGAUGUCGACUUGGAGGUUGUGCCCUUGAGGCGUGGCUUCCGGAGCUAACGCGUUAAGUCGACCGCCUGGGGAGUACGGCCGCAAGGUUAAAACUCAAAUGAAUUGACGGGGGCCCGCACAAGCGGUGGAGCAUGUGGUUUAAUUCGAUGCAACGCGAAGAACCUUACCUGGUCUUGACAUCCACGGAAGUUUUCAGAGAUGAGAAUGUGCCUUCGGGAACCGUGAGACAGGUGCUGCAUGGCUGUCGUCAGCUCGUGUUGUGAAAUGUUGGGUUAAGUCCCGCAACGAGCGCAACCCUUAUCCUUUGUUGCCAGCGGUCCGGCCGGGAACUCAAAGGAGACUGCCAGUGAUAAACUGGAGGAAGGUGGGGAUGACGUCAAGUCAUCAUGGCCCUUACGACCAGGGCUACACACGUGCUACAAUGGCGCAUACAAAGAGAAGCGACCUCGCGAGAGCAAGCGGACCUCAUAAAGUGCGUCGUAGUCCGGAUUGGAGUCUGCAACUCGACUCCAUGAAGUCGGAAUCGCUAGUAAUCGUGGAUCAGAAUGCCACGGUGAAUACGUUCCCGGGCCUUGUACACACCGCCCGUCACACCAUGGGAGUGGGUUGCAAAAGAAGUAGGUAGCUUAACCUUCGGGAGGGCGCUUACCACUUUGUGAUUCAUGACUGGGGUGAAGUCGUAACAAGGUAACCGUAGGGGAACCUGCGGUUG